ACACCUGAAGAAAAAAAAAAGAAAGAAAUACAACACUUAGUCACAGAAGAGAUUACCCAAGAAUUACAUCAUGAAAUUUCUUAACUUAUGUUAGAUCAACGCAUGCUGUGUAUGACGACUGCUGCUUUAUUUAUUCGGUUUCAACUUGUUUCCAACAACUUUGUUCACAAUUGUCCUUUUUCAAUUACCAAAACACUUUGCAUGCUCCUCAGCUUGUAUAUUUCCCCUGUAAAGAGCUCCUCUAAAUUUGUUCUAGGACAUUCCAGACGAAUUUCACUUCAAGUCUCGCACAUGAAGGAAAAUGACUACUGUGAAAAUAUGAGAAAUGCAGGCUGAAAUUUAGUGAGUCUAAUUCAUGGCUUAGGAUUUAGCUCUGCAAAUAAUCAGGGACCUGGUAUUACUCAUAUGCUGGGGGCUUGUAAGGAAUGGAGAAAAUAUGACAUGUUUUUGGCUAAAUUCACAAGACGUGUACUCAGAGGGGACAUAAAAAUGCAUUAAGGGAGGAAACUCUGACUGUGGUCUAACCUACUUUGUUUAAACUUUGUGACAUGGUGUGUAGAGGAAGUCUUUCAGCUGUCUACUUUGGAUUUAGAGCUUCUAUACUUUUGGAGAUGAGUUGAAACAUUUUUCAUACUUAGCUUUCAGAACACCAGCUUGGGAGUUAAUGCAGUAUUAUUAUAUAAAUUGCAAUGCUUGAUGGGCUGGUUUAGUUCUUUUUAUUAGUAUAUGUUCUCACCUACAUGGCACACCAUCCAGUAUUUUGCUUCAUUGGGUUUAUGAGAUCACAUCAGUCUGAACAACAUCACAGCAGCGAUGCAGAGCUCAUUUUUCAAUUAGACACCAUAUCUACAAGGCAGAAUGACUGAAGAGCUUGCUCUGAUAUAGCAUCCACCCUUUUCCUCCCUUCCUCAAAGCUCUGCCACUGUAAUCCAUCCUUCUCCUGAAUGCCCAAUUAGUUCUAAUGUUCUCUCUGUCUCUCUUUUGUCCCCCAGGGGUCUACCUGCCGGUUCAGAGACUAUUUGUGCUUCCUCUCAUAUAUAUGCGCACUGGCAUGGAGGGAUAGAAGAACGAUCUAUAGCUAUCAACAGGCCCAUGUGAGCACAGCCCUGAGCUCUCCCCUGCCAGCCAUCAGCAUGUGCACUUCACCUUCAAGCUCAUUUACAAAGAGUCACAUUCUCAAGCAGAAGCUUGGCCCUCAUGAUGCACCCUGUUACCUUGGCCCAGCUGGUUCAGGGAUGUGUUGCGUACUGUUGGUUCCCUGUCUGUGCUGUAAUGAGUUGUGAGGGUGUCUUGAGUGCCCCUAAUGUGAGGUGAAUGGAGACGUUUGCAUGUGGGCUGCUCGCUUGUGCAUACUGAAUAAUGCAUUUGCUGAGGUUACCACCUAAUCUUUUUUUCUUACUGAAUUCUGCUCUAACUUUGGGCAAAAAGAAACACAAAAGGCAAGACAAAAUAAGUGCAGGAGGCCAAUGAUGAGCACCUUCAUUUACCUCCAAAAGGAAACCGCUGUUGUGGUGCCAGGCAACAAGUGGUCCCAACUUGCAGAUUGCGGGGAUUAACUGAAUUUGCCACUGUCAGUUUCCUUACGGGCCUGAUGUUCAUUCACGGCAUGAACGCUGAUCGGGGAGUGUACAAGCCACCUCUGGCUGCAUGCUGAUGCCUGGAUCUCUGUGCCAAAGCUCCUCCUGUCCUCUCCUUCAACGACUCAUUUCAGAGCUUAACGAAGAGGCUGACACAAAACAUGAAGAAGGGCCCUUGAGCGUGCCAGCAUUGCAUUUAGCCCAGGCCAUCCAACGUUGGAUGCUGCCUCGUAAACAGCGACUUGGUGUUGUGGUGACUCAAAGCCAGGUUAAUCCACCAUUGCCACAGAUGGAAUCUGAUUGGGGAUAUUCAUCUUGUUAUCUUUGCCUUCAUCCGCGUGAGUCUGCCUUACUAAGGCUUUGGGCAAUUCCUCCAGGGAAUGGAAGGAGCCACCAUCAUUUAUUUCUUGGAAGGAGCUAUUGCAGUGCUCUCUGCAGAGUUGCCAUGGAGAUCUGCCUCCGUGUUUCACAAGGACAAAGGCAAAACCGUGAGGAAAGGAUAAAUCCAUCUCCAGCUUAAAGAAGGGGACAAAUUAAACAAACAAACACAACGUGGCUGAUACAAUCGCAUGCGCAGUACAAUUAAACAGCCGUUAUCUAACCUCACCGAAUGUGACUCUUUCAUUGCUUUAAAGGGAUCAGUCUGGCUGUUUGCAGAUCGUUCAGAAAGAGAAGCUAUCAAGCGUCCUCUGAAACUAGCUAUGUUGGUUAAGUCUUCUGGCUGGUCCCCUGCUGGUGGGAGGAUGACUCACGCUCAGAGUGACCUUCUGUCAUACCACCCUCAAUAAUAUUGACAGAGGCUUGCCUGUGGUCCUUACAUUCAUCUUCAUUAGCACUUGGCUUUAAGCAUCAAUGUCAUUGUCCGCUCCUGGGAGGCCUUCACUGCUAUCUCUGCCUCUGUCUGCCCCGGCCGCCACAUCUUCCUGCCGUGGUUUAGCUUAGAGGGAACUCAAUCAGACUAUCAUCCGAGACUUGUUUGCCUGCAAUCUGCCCUUCUUAUCUGUGAAAAGUAGGGCAAGGAGGAGGAAACCAUUGAUCUUGGAAGGUAAUUGCUUAAAGGGAUACUUCACCUCAAAAUUAGAAUUUGUCAUCAUUUACUCGCCGUUUGACAAGCAAAGAGCCAAUGAUGGAUAUUCUUCAGGGACAAGAUAUUAUUCAAAUAUGAGUUCUAAAGAAGGUCAUACAGGUUGAGUAAAUGAUGAUAAAACUUUAAUUUCCAUUUAGAGUCCAUUUAAAAAAAAAAAAAGCUACAGUCUGUUUGGUGUAUGUGUUUGCAUGGUUUGCUGCAGUUAUGUUAUCAGUAUGUGUCCGAGUCUGUGUACAGGACAUGCGUAUGUGAUCGUGUGCUGCACAGAAAGAGUCAUCCAUCUCCUGUAGUCAGCGAGGGACCUACAGUCGGUGACCGCAGGCAGCAGGGCUCUGCCGCACAUCCACGGUCCCUAUCAGCUUCAGAGAGCAUAUACCUUCUUGCUUGGUGCUGAAGUGAUGCACAGUGUCCCCCUCUGAAAUAGUGAUGACUCUGCCUAAAGACAUGCUGGCAGACAGAUGCCCAAUGGCAUUAAUUGGCCCAGAAGAGCAGAAGAGAUGAAUUAGCAAAGGUGUCAUUUCCUGUCUGUGCCAUCGCCAAGGCCGCAAGAUCACUCUCGCUGUUAAGAGAAGUACUGCUGGCUGCAAGUCCUGCCCCGUUGGCCUUACUGGGCCAAAAUUCAAUUUGCAUUAACCAGAAAAUCCAAUGCAGGGCUUAGAGUGAUUUCAUCCCUCAAGGUGAAGGAGAGGUGAAGUGGGAAGAUAAAGAGGGGAGGGUGGGGCAAGCAGAAGGAGAUGGCAUGAAGCCAUCUCCAUCACCCAGUGGGGCUUUCUGAGGUGUGUUUACAAAUCUGUGUAGACAUGGAUCGUCUGUGUGCGUGCAUGUCAGCUCAUGUUUUGAUCUGAAAUUAAUGAGCUUUGAAUCCUCAGUUUACUUUCAAUACUAUGCCUUGCUAUAUACACACUAUACAUUUACAAAUAUCUGUGGACAUGCAGCUCGUGCUUCAUAUUCAUAUUCAUCUGAAGCCAUGUGAUCAUUUUGUGUGAGGAACAGACAAUGAAGUCAUUUUUCCUUUAUAAUGUUCCUGUCCACUGUAGCUCUCACACCUUUUCACUAGAGCUUAUUAAAGUGUAAAAUACGUAAGCAAAAAGGCCACACUGUGAGAUAUGACGUUGCAGCUGUUAAAUAUAAAGUCACAUUUUGAGUUAUAAAGUAAGAAAUAAAGUUGUGUUUAUGAGAUACAGUCACAGCACAAGAUAAAAAGUGACAACUGGGAAAUGCAAAAUAAGUUGCAUUUGUGAGAUAUAAAGUCACAUCGCAAGUUGGGAAAUUUGAAACAUAAUAAUAAUGAAUAGUGAAUAAUAAUAGUGGGGAUUGCGAGAAAUAAAGUUGCAUUUGUGAGAUAAAGUAUUGGGAAAUAUGAAACAUAAGGUUGGAUUGUGAAUAAUAAUGUGACGAUUGCGAGAAAUAAAGUUGUGUUUGUGAAAUUAUAAAGAUAUUAAGUUGCAAUUAUGAUAAUUAUAGUUACAAAUAUGAGAUGUACUGUAAAAUGUAAAUAAAAUAGCAAUCGUGAGAUAUAAAGUUAAAACUUACCAUUUUCUUUUUACAGAAAUGGCAUCCAUAGUUAUCUUCUAUAUUGGAAUGGAUGCAGAUCCAAAAAAACAAAAAAGAAUAUUGAUGAAUAUUGACAUUGAAUAUUGGGGUGAAUAUUGACAUAAUAUCAGCCUAUUAGCCACAAAAAGCAAUCGCAUGGCUUCAGAAGACAUACAAGUGAUAUGGACCACUUAUUUAGUAUGGUUUUGUCAUUUUAUGGUGCUGUUUUGAACUCUACAGCCCAGAUCCUCAUUUUUGGGUGAACUAUCCCUUUAAGUUCAACGUGUCACAUUAUAUAUGACAAAGCAGCCGAUGUGACCCUCAGUGCGGUGUAUCAAGACAUGCUGUUUAUAAGAGUCAGAAACAGACAAAUGGGGAAAGGGAUGGCCUGAAGUUGAGAAGAGAUUGUGAAGAUGAGAGAGAGGGCUAUAAAUCAGACCACCCCCCUACCCAACUCAGAAAGUGAGAAGAAAAAAAAACAAGUAGUAAAAACCCACUGCUCAGCUGCAGUCAUCUAUCUACACAAGGACGAGGCUAUUAGAGAAAUGACAGAGCCAUGGACUUGAGUGUAACCACUCUCUCUCUCAGUCCCCAGAAGUCUCUUCUGCAAUGCUUAUUCUUACCAGUAAACACUGUAUAGGCCUCAUAUUGAUUAAAGGUAUCAUUCACUGAGAACAGAUGGCACCACAGAAAGCCAGCAAGCCUAUUCAUUACUGCAUUCCCAUCAAAAUGCAUCUGCUUCGUCAGAAACGAGAUGUCUUUGCUUAUCAUGUAACAUCUUUUAAUCAGAGCUGAAGCAGCAAAUGAGAUGACUUGCACCCUCUUUUGUAAUUCGACCUCGGCACACAUGACCACAAGACCGUGGCACAUCGUCAUUUGGAUCUCCUCUGACAAGCAUGCAAUAAUCUGACAUGCAGGCCAGCUACGACCACACAGCCCAAUUAAGCUUUUAGUUGCCAGAAUUAACAGAGCAUGAGGACCCUCUGGCCUCGCCCCAAAACAUGGUGACUGUAAUUUUACCGAAUAUCCAGCCGAAGUGUUACGAUGACGUAAAGCUGACAUGCAUACAUUACUUCUGUAAAGACCAGCUGUAAUUCGGGCACUUCUGACACAUUUCUGUGGAAAACAUUGAAUACAUAAACCAGCAUGCACCUCAUUUAAUGAGGUCUAAAUUGGUCUGUGACAUCUUCGAAUGAGUUGAUCCUAUUAGCGACCAAUAGCUUUUUAGUAGAUGGAAUUGGAUUUUCUUGCGCAAAACAGCAAACCUUCGGAGAGUUUUCAUUUCUUGGAGCUUGUAAUAUUGAUAAGUCUCAGAGGAACGCGGGCUAAGAAGCCUACAGCCAACAAUUUAUUAAACAUAUUUGAAUUAAUGACGAUGAUUGAAUUAAUCUUUGAGUAAAAUGCAGUAAUUCACUUUCAUGAGAUGUAGUGAGAGUUUGAGAGCAUGUUGAUUGGUUUUGGGAGGAAGAGCAGAUGUACUGCAUUGCCUCGAUGUUUGAUUGUAUGCUGUUGUCAGCUAUGCUGUUGGCUAACUGUGGAGAUAAAAGAGCGUAAGUGGUGAUUAAAAGCUUUAAUCCAGACUCAGCAGGCCUGGGCAUUAAUAUAAAAGGCCAAUGCUGAUAUACAUUUUGUAAUGCAUCACAAAAAUAUAUACUAUUGACUAUAAUAACCGGCCCUGUAUAAACAGUAAAAUGACUGCGGUAGGCCUACUGUAUGUAAUGUAGCAUUGCAUUAUAGCUGGUAAUUGACCGAAAGAUGCAUGAGAGGUAGCUUGAGGUUUCUAAAAUAUUAAAUUCUUCUUCUGUAAUGUAGUCUUUGCUCAUAUAUGGCAAGUGCUCUGGGAACUUUUUUCCUUUCUUUUUUAAGAUAAUGUGAAUACCACCUAGAAUGUGGUAGUACCCUUGCUGUCUAUGGAGGGUCAGAGAGCUAUCAGAUUUCUUCAAAAAUAUAUAUUAAUUUGUGUUCUGAAGAUGAACGAAGCUCUUACUAGUUUGGAACGACAUGAGGGGGAGUAAAUAAUUAAAGAUUUUUCAUUUUUUGGUAGUAGUUCAAGUAGCAUUUGAGUGGGUGGGCACUGAAGACUUAUUUUGCCACAUUUACCGUUUGUUCUAGAAUCAUAUGUAAUUAAGAUUUCAACAGGAAUUUCUCUGUUUAGAAAAUGUGAAAUAAUAGUUUGAUGGCUCCAGCAAAAGCAUACACCGCCAAUUAACAAGUCGUUUCACUUUAAAGGGGUCAUAUGAUGCGAUUUAAAUUUUUU